rnacentral:misc_RNA from 1 species
UGCGGCUGGAUCCCCUCCUUUCUAGAGAACUGGCAAGUUCCGGUACUCACAGCCUAUCGGUUGUUCCUGUGACUGAAUGUCAAUCAGAGUGCUUCAUUGAGCAUUGUGAUUCGCGUUUAGACGCAUUGAUCUUUAACAAACUGAAGAAGCCGAAAUACAAAGUGAACAGAUAGCCAGGGCGCUUGCGCUCUCGUUAGAAGUUCCGCUUUGGGUAGUUGUAUGUAUCGACGCUGGAUUCGCAGAGGUGCGAAUGCAGCGAGUGCGCAAGGCCUUUGAAAUGAUAGGGUCAAGCGACUAAGUGCAUCUGGUGGAUGCCUUGGCGAUCAUAGGCGAUGAAGGACGUGUAAGCCUGCGAAAAGCGCGGGGGAGCUGGCAAUAGAGCAUUGAUCCCGCGAUGUCCGAAUGGGGAAACCCGG